rnacentral:rRNA from 1 species
GUGGGGAAUAUUGGACAAUGGGCGAAAGCCUGAUCCAGCCAUGCCGCGUGUGUGAAGAAGGUCUUCGGAUUGUAAAGCACUUUAAGUUGGGAGGAAGGGCAGUAAGUUAAUACCUUGCUGUUUUGACGUUACCGACAGAAUAAGCACCGGCUAACUUCGUGCCAGCAGCCGCGGUAAUACGAAGGGUGCAAGCGUUAAUCGGAAUUACUGGGCGUAAAGCGCGCGUAGGUGGGUUUGUAAGUUGGAGGUGAAAUCCCCGGGCUCAACCUGGGAACUGCCUCCAAAACUGCAUGACUAGAGUACGGUAGAGGGUAGUGGAAUUUCCUGUGUAGCGGUGAAAUGCGUAGAUAUAGGAAGGAACACCAGUGGCGAAGGCGACUACCUGGACUGAUACUGACACUGAGGUGCGAAAGCGUGGGGAGCAAACAGGAUUAGAAACCCCAGUAGUCC